rnacentral:rRNA from 1 species
ACCGGCGCACGGGUGGCGUAACGCGUAUGCAAUCUACCUUUCACAGAGGGAUAGCCCAGAGAAAUUUGGAUUAAUACCUCAUAGUAUUAUUGAGUGGCAUCACUUAAUAAUUAAAGUCACAACGGUGAAAGAUNNNNNNGCGUCCCAUUAGCUAGUUGGUAAGGUAACGGCUUACCAAGGCAACGAUGGGUAGGGGUCCUGAGAGGGAGAUCCCCCACACUGGUACUGAGACACGGACCAGACUCCUACGGGAGGCAGCAGUGAGGAAUAUUGGACAAUGGGCGCAAGCCUGAUCCAGCCAUGCCGCGUGCAGGAUGACGGUCCUAUGGAUUGUAAACUGCUUUUGUACGAGAAGAAACACUGCUUCGUGAAGCAGCUUGACGGUAUCGUAAGAAUAAGGAUCGGCUAACUCCGUGCCAGCAGCCGCGGUAAUACGGAGGAUCCAAGCGUUAUCCGGAAUCAUUGGGUUUAAAGGGUCCGUAGGCGGUUUAGUAAGUCAGUGGUGAAAGCCCAUCGCUCAACGGUGGAACGGCCAUUGAUACUGCUGAACUUGAAUUAUUAGGAAGUAACUAGAAUAUGUAGUGUAGCGGUGAAAUGCUUAGAGAUUACAUGGAAUACCAAUUGCGAAGGCAGGUUACUACUAAUUGAUUGACGCUGAUGGACGAAAGCGUGGGGAGCGAACAGGAUUAGAUACCCUGGUAGUCCACGCCGUAAACGAUGGAUACUAGCUGUUGGGAGCAAUCUCAGUGGCUAAGCGAAAGUGAUAAGUAUCCCACCUGGGGAGUACGUUCGCAAGAAUGAAACUCAAAGGAAUUGACGGGGGCCCGCACAAG